rnacentral:tRNA from 1 species
UCCUGGUUAGCCCAGUUGGUAGAGCGCUCCACUGAAAUUGGAGAGGCCCCGGUUUGAUACCCGGACCAGGCG